ACGACUCGAAACAGAUGCUAAUACCGCAUAACAACUUGGACCGCAUGGUCCGAGCUUGAAAGAUGGCUUCGGCUAUCACUUUUGGAUGGUCCCGCGGCGUAUUAGCUAGAUGGUGGGGUAACGGCUCACCAUGGCAAUGAUACGUAGCCGACCCGAGAGGGUAAUCGGCCACAUUGGGACUGAGACACGGCCCAAACUCCUACGGGAGGCAGCAGUAGGGAAUCUUCCACAAUGGACGAAAGUCUGAUGGAGCAACGCCGCGUGAGUGAAGAAGGGUUUCGGCUCGUAAAACUCUGUUGUUAAAGAAGAACAUAUCUGAGAGUAACUGUUCAGGUAUUGACGGUAUUUAACCAGAAAGCCACGGCUAACUACGUGCCAGCAGCCGCGGUAAUACGUAGGUGGCAAGCGUUGUCCGGAUUUAUUGGGCGUAAAGCGAGCGCAGGCGGUUUUUUAAGUCUGAUGUGAAAGCCUUCGGCUCAACCGAAGAAGUGCAUCGGAAACUGGGAAACUUGAGUGCAGAAGAGGACAGUGGAACUCCAUGUGUAGCGGUGAAAUGCGUAGAUAUAUGGAAGAACACCAGUGGCGAAGGCGGCUGUCUGGUCUGUAACUGACGCUGAGGCUCGGAAGUAUGGGUAGCAAA
rnacentral:rRNA from 1 species